rnacentral:rRNA from 1 species
AAAUAAACUAGGGAUAGAUACCCUAUUAUUUUUAUUAAAUUAAAUUAAAUUUAAAUAUUAAAUGUUAAGCAUUAAAAAUAAAAAAUUUGGCGGUAUUUAMUAUUUAGAGGAACUUGUUUAUUAAAUUGAUAAUCCAGGAAUAGAAGAACUUAAUUUAAAAAUAUUUUUAUGUAUUGUUGUUGAAAAAUUAUAUUAAUAGAUAUUAAUUAAAAAAAUUAAUUAAAAUUAUAAUUCAAAUCAAAAUGUAGAAUAAUUAAGUGUWUAAUGAGUUACAAUUAAUUAAAUAAUWGAAUUUUAAWUAAUUUAAUUUAUAAAUGAAAAUGGAUUUAAAAGUAAAUUCAUAUAAAUUAUAGGUGAAUAAAAUUUAAA